GAUGAAGAACGCAGCGAAAUGCGAUAAGUAAUGUGAAUUGCAGAAUCCAGUGAAUCAUCGAAUCUUUGAACGCACAUUGCGCCCGCCAGUACUCUGGCGGGCAUGCCUGUCCGAGCGUCAUUUCAACCCUCGAGCCCCGCUUGGUGUUGGGCCCCGCCCGCCGUGGCCGGCCCUAAAGACAGUGGCGGCGCCGCCUGGCCCUCAGCGUAGUACAGCUCUCGCUCCAGGGUCCGGCGGCCGCCUGCCAGAACCCCCCCAACUCUGUGGUUGACCUCGGAUCAGGUAGGGAUACCCGCUGAACUUAAGCAUAUCAAUAAGCGGAGGA
rnacentral:misc_RNA from 1 species